rnacentral:rRNA from 1 species
UACAGAGGUGGCAAGCGUUGUUCGGAAUUACUGGGCGUAAAGGGCGCGUAGGCGGCCUUCUAAGUCAGACGUGAAAUCCCUCGGCUUAACCGGGGAACUGCGUCUGAUACUGGAUGGCUUGAGAUUGGGAGAGGGAUGCGGAAUUCCAGGUGUAGCGGUGAAAUGCGUAGAUAUCUGGAGGAACACCGGUGGCGAAGGCGGCAUCCUGGACCAACACUGACGCUGAGUGAGCGAAAGCCAGGGGAGCAAACGGG